CCUACGGGGGACAGCAGUGAGGAAUAUUGGUCAAUGGUCGGGAGACUGAACCAGCCAAGCCGCGUGAGGGAUGAAGGUACAGAGUAUCGUAAACCUCUUUUGUCAGGGAACAAAGGCGGGGACGCGUCCCCGGAUGAGUGUACCUGACGAAAAAGCAUCGGCUAACUCCGUGCCAGCAGCCGCGGUAAUACGGAGGAUGCGAGCGUUAUCCGGAUUUAUUGGGUUUAAAGGGUGCGAAGGCGGUCUGUUAAGUCGGCGGUCAAAGCCCGGGGCUCAACCGCGGCCCGCCGUUGAAACUGGCAGUCUCGAGUUGGAGAGAAGUAUGCGGAAUGCGCGGUGUAGCGGUGAAAUGCAUAGAUAUCGCGCAGAACUCCGAUUGCGAAGGCAGCAUGCCGGCUCCACACUGACGCUGAGGCACGAAAGCGUGGGUAGCGAACAGGAUUAGAUACCCUUGUAGUC
rnacentral:rRNA from 1 species